ACUCUGUUCGGGAUAAGGUCUCGCAGUGAGCUACGGAUAUUCGAGAUGGUUAGAGAAUAAAAAAACGACCAAAGGAAAAAAGUAAUGGAAAAGAAUGAAACUAUAAUUGGAAAAUGAACGGGGCAAGGCAAACAGAUUAACAUGUAUGAAUAACAGAUAGGUUAGAUGCAACAUGUAUGAGCUGCAAUCAGGGUGCAAUCUGAUUUUGCCAUCAACGGAGUGAAUCAAUUGAAUUGAAACCAUGUAAGGAUAUGUUGGAAAAGAUGAAACUAAAAUGUGUAAAGGAGUUUACAUUUUAGGAAGAGGAUUAACAUGGCAAUUUUGAUGAUAUGUAGAUGUACAGUACACAUAUUAUAUACUAUAUCAUAACAUAAAUUUGUUGUAUGGAGGUUAUCUAUGAAUAAAUUAUGAACGUUCGGGCAAACUCAAGCUUUUCUGAUCCCAAUAAAAGAAGAGAACGCUAAUUGGAGAUUUGUUUCACUCUCUGAAUAUUACAUUAAAUACUUUACAGUGAAUAUCUUCUGUACAUCUUUGCACAUUUAAUUUUCCUGUAUAUUACAGAUAAACUACGGACUUUUAUACUAAAUUUAGAAGUACAAAAAUCUACAGACUGUACAUGAUCUAGGAAAAUAAUAAAAUAUCCAAUGCUCUGUCCAAAGUAUUCUUUAUAAUUUUUAUUGGAUGAAACAAAUUUCUAUGUGCACAAGAUUAGGUGAUUCACCCAGAGUACAAAGAAAGGGUGGAGGUGGGGUUAAGGUAAGUACAUAUAGGAGGAGGGAGAAUAAUAAUUCGACAAAGCGGCGGUCGGAAAGAAAGAAAUCCAUAUUCAGAUCCGAUGAUGUAUCCGGGGGCGCGGGAGGGCUGCUCCCCAUUCAAAGGGGAGGAGGUAAAGGGAAGCAAGCCUAUGGAAGAGGAAAGGAAGGAGGAAGCCGCGUGAACGUACACUAGGUCCCACCACUACUAUACUCACCCUUUUCACAUCUUUCUUCUCUCUUUCUAUCUUUCUCUGUUCGUACAGAGAGUAUAUGCCGCGUUUUGCCUUUAUCAUCGGCGGCGGCGGCAAACCCUUAGCCGCGCCACGAUUAUGAUUCCGAUUAUUAUGAUUAUGAUUAUGAUUAUGAUUAUUAUGAUUAUUGUUAGGUGGAGGUAUCGCGUUGCCGUCACGGGCACGUCGACCCGUGCUUUGUCCACGUGACAGCGAUAGGGCCCAUUUAUGUCGAGAACACACACUCCACGCCGACGUUAUAAUGGAGGAUAAAUCCAGCCGAAAAGACCACAAUACAUACAUCGUUCUGUCGUAGCAUUAACCGCAAAAUCUACAAAAAUCUCAGUUUCGUCUAAGAAGCGAAGAACGCACCAAACUUCCAAGCGUAAGUCUAUAGAGGGGUUAAAAAUCCUAUUCUAAAAAUUCCGAGAAAAUCAGCCUUCUAGAAACCAUUCCUACACGAAGAAACACUCUACACCACUCGAACCAGUUCGAUAACCUAACCCAGCUUCCUCUCGCCAUACCUAUACAACCCUCUCCUUCACUCGUCGCUGACGAACAACCUCGUCUACUUCAUCUUCAAAGAGACAACAACCUCACUCUUCGAUAGGCUGUUACUGCUAGACGGAAAAACUGUAAUCGGAUCCGUUUCAAGCAGAAGGAGCAGGAAACACGAAGAAGAGUUUCGAAAAGACAUCGCAAAGAGAACUGGAACCGCUACCGACGAUGAUCAGACAACAUCUAUCGUCGACGCGGUCGUAAACCGACGAUACCAGACGAAAAGUCGACCGUUCGUCAGGUUGUCUGGCUAAGAUUCGCUGCCGUGGUUCCGUUUACGAACCCACAGAAAGGAACGUAGAUAAAUACUCAUGGACGGCUCUUACAGUUUUACGACCGUGCCACGGUUCUACGUUUGCCCGCUCUAUUUGGCUAACGACAAUUCUGAUCUGCAUUUCCUCAAACCGAAACUAUCCUUAUCGCCCUCUGAGAUUUCUCGUGGCAUCUGGUGAAUCGCGUGUGGAAUGCGCUUGGCAACGCUUCCGCGUGUCUUUUGGCCGUUUUAUUGAUGGUGUACAACAAGUACUACACAGGAUUAUGCAAUUUUGUAUUUAUAGAAAUUCGGAUAUAAGUUGGUUUUAGUACGUGAUGUAGUGUUUCAAGAAUCUCCAAUGAAAAUUUUUGGGUGAAAUUAGAAUACAAAAUCCCUUGUUCUUCAAUGUCUUGGAUCGUAUGUUUUAAGAAUAUUCAAAUAAAAUUUUAGAAUUCGAAUAUAGGAGAUUUUUAAUUAAUGUUUUAAGCUUAAAUAUUUAAAGAAUUUUUAAAAAAGAUUUGUGGAAGAAUUAGGAGAAAUAUGGUUUUUCUUUACUUUCUGUUAUUUGCUCCUUGUUAAUUUCUUAAACUAGGUAAACUAGACGGGUGAAAUUUUUUAUCGUUAACGAUCAGGUGGGCUGUUUAAAACAAUCCAGACAAAUGAGCAUUUUUGAGCGUAACAAAUGAUACAUUUUUAUUAAGCGAUGCUUUAGAAGCGUUCACAGAAAGCUUUGAAUAGAAUAAAUAUAGAAUCUUUUCUUAUCAAGAUCUUGGGCUGUAUUUUCAAGAUUGUUCAAAUAUUUAAAUAUAAUUUUUGAAGAAGACUUCCGGGGAUCUUGAAAUAAAUCUGGUAUUUUUAUUUUAAAUGAAACUUUCGGACAGAAUUGAAAGCAAUAUAGGAUUUCUUAAUCAAUAGAUAUUUUUAACGAAUCUUCCAUUAAGACAAACUGAAAAAUUCCUGCACAACUUCUACUUUCAUAUUUAAUUCUUCUAUAAAACGUCUAGACGUAAUAGAUCCAGGAACUUUCGCGACUUUCUGAAUGCUUCGUCCCCCAAUCAUUUCAUUCCAUCUCCUACUGUACGUGUCAUCGUCGAUCAGGAUUAAUUAGCCGGAAGGAAAGACACGGAUCGUGAUUCCUCUAUGAACAUAGAGCACGGUGCUCGUGCACAUUCAACGAGAGGAAACUUCACCUCGAUGUUCCCGCCGCAAUCUAAUGACCACCCUUCGGGCAGAGUUUUGGCCCGGGGGUCAUCCCCUUUUUUCACCGUGAAAGUCACGAGGGGGCCACUUUGGAUAGAAUGAGAUACGAACGAGGAACGUUGCAUAAGUAUAAUGCUGGCAGAGAAAAGGGGGAUGUUCGGUAAUCGAUACUAAUUAGGACGAGGUAAAGUUUCGGUUGUGAGAGGAACAGCGGCUCUCCUAUAGUAUUUGUUAAAACACAUAUAUACACGCAUAUAUGUAUGCAUAAUUAUACACAGUGGCUAAUUAUUAUCCACUGAAAAAAUUCUUUUGAUUUUUUAUUAAUAUAUUGUUCAUUAGUACGUGAGAUAAUGGUUCUUAAAGAAUAUUAUUUUAGGAAUUGUUAUAUAAUAUAUGUAAUAUAAUGUGUAAUAAUAAUUUGUGAUAACAAUUUUCAUCCCUUAAGAGCUCAUCAAUAUUAUUUUUAGAAUUAUUGUUUGGAUUCUUAAAGAUUGAAAGACAUAUUCAUUGUUAAACUGAGGACUUAUAUAUUUAAGUAUUAAAUAACUCAGGUUUAUGUAUUUAAAUAUGCAAAUUAAAUAUGUAAAAAUGUACAGGAUAUAUGCAAUAUGUAAAAGUACAGCAUAUAUGUAAAAUUCAGUAUUUAUUAUAA